GGGAGCCAUUACAGGUGUUGCAUGGCUGUCGUCAGCUCGUGUCGUGAGAUGUUCGGUUAAGUCCGCUAACGAGCGCAACCCUCGCUGUGUGUUAUAUGUGUCACACAGGACUGCUGGUAUUAAGCCGGAGGAAGGUGGGGACGACGUCAAGUCAGCAUGACCUUUAUAUCCAGGGCUACACACACGCUACAAUGGUCAGUACAAUGGGUUGCCAAGCCGCGAGGCGGAGCCAAUCCUAAAAAGCUGGCCUCAGUUCAGAUUGCAGUCUGAAACUCGACUGCAUGAAGUCGGAGUUGCUAGUAAACGCAGGUCAGCUAUACUGCGUUGAAUACGUUCCCGGGGCUU
rnacentral:rRNA from 1 species